rnacentral:rRNA from 1 species
GGACUACUGGGGUUUCUAAUCCUGUUUGCUCCCCACGCUUUCGCACCUCAGCGUCAAUACGUGUCCAGUGAGUCGCCUUCGCCACUGGUGUUCUUCCGAAUAUCUACGAAUUUCACCUCUACACUCGGAAUUCCACUCACCUCUCCACGAUUCUAGCGAUGCAGUCUUAAAGGCAAUUCCAGGGUUAAGCCCUGGGCUUUCACCUCUAACUUACAAAGCCGCCUACGUGCGCUUUACGCCCAGUAAUUCCGAACAACGCUAGCCCCCUCCGUAUUACCGCGGCUGCUGGCAC